AUUGAACGCUGGCGGCAGGCCUAACACAUGCAAGUCGAGCGGAUGAAGGGAGCUUGCUCCUGGAUUCAGCGGCGGACGGGUGAGUAAUGCCUAGGAAUCUGCCUGGUAGUGGGGGAUAACGUCCGGAAACGGGCGCUAAUACCGCAUACGUCCUGAGGGAGAAAGUGGGGGAUCUUCGGAUCUCACGCUAUCAGAUGAGCCUAGGUCGGAUUAGCUAGUUGGUGGGGUAAAGGCCUACCAAGGCGACGAUCCGUAACUGGUCUGAGAGGAUGAUCAGUCACACUGGAAUUGAGACACGGUCCAGACUCCUACGGGAGGCAGCAGUGGGGAAUAUUGGACAAUGGGCGAAAGCCUGAUCCAGCCAUGCCGCGUGUGUGAAGAAGGUCUUCGGAUUGUAAAGCACUUUAAGUUGGGAGGAAGGGCAGUAAGUUAAUACCUUGCUGUUUUGACGUUACCAACAGAAUAAGCACCGGCUAACUUCGUG
rnacentral:rRNA from 1 species